rnacentral:rRNA from 1 species
GGUGAACGCUGGCGGCGUGCUUAAGACAUGCAAGUCGAACGCAGUCUUCGGACUGAGUGGCGCACGGGUGAGUAACACGUAACUGACCUACCCCCAAGUCGCGAAUAACCAGCCGAAAGGAUGGCUAAUACGUGAUGUGAUGAUCCGCUGUGGCGGAUCAUUAAAGACUUGAUCGCUUGGGGAUGGGGUUGCGUUCCAUCAGCUAGUUGGUAAGGUAAAGGCUUACCAAGGCAACGACGGAUAGCCGGCCUGAGAGGGUGGCCGGCCACAGGGGCACUGAGACACGGGUCCCACUCCUACGGGAGGCAGCAGUUAGGAAUCUUCCACAAUGGGCGCAAGCCUGAUAGAGCGACGCCGCGUGAGGGAUGAAGGUUCUCGGAUCGUAAACCUCUGAACCAACGACGAAAGACCCGACAAGGGAGAUGACGGUAGUUGGGUAAUAGCACCGGCUAACUCCGUGCCAGCCGCCGCUGUAAAAC